GUGGGGAAUUUUGGACAAUGGGCGAAAGCCUGAUCCAGCCAUGCCGCGUGAGUGAAGAAGGCCUUCGGGUUGUAAAGCUCUUUCAGGUGGAAAGAAAUCACUACCCCGAAUACGGGUGGUGGAUGACGGUACCAUCAGAAGAAGCACCGGCUAACUACGUGCCAGCAGCCGCGGUAAUACGUAGGGUGCGAGCGUUAAUCGGAAUUACUGGGCGUAAAGCGUGCGCAGGCGGUUGUGUAAGACAGGUGUGAAAUCCCCGGGCUUAACCUGGGAACUGCGCUUGUGACUGCACAGCUAGAGUACGGCAGAGGGGGGUGGAAUUCCACGUGUAGCAGUGAAAUGCGUAGAGAUGUGGAGGAACACCGAUGGCGAAGGCAGCCCCCUGGGCCUGUACUGACGCUCAUGCACGAAAGCGUGGGGAGCAAACAGGAUUAGAUACCCUAGUAGUCC
rnacentral:rRNA from 1 species